ensembl:snoRNA
AUCCUUUUAUGGUUCACGCUGUGAUGUUGGGUUUGCCAGCCUUUGUGCCAGAUGUGCCUCCCUCAAACACUGUGGCAACAUUGGAACAUUACAGAAA